rnacentral:rRNA from 1 species
GAGUUUGAUUAUGGCUCAGAGUGAACGCUGGCGGCGUGCCUAAUACAUGCAAGUCGAACGGAGAUUAAAGUAAGCUUGCUUAUUUUAAUCUUAGUGGCGCACGGGUGAGUAAUGUAUAGCUAAUCUGCCCUACACUAGAGGACAACAGUUGGAAACGACUGCUAAUACUCUAUACUCCUUCUUUACAUAAGUUAAGUCGGGAAAGUUUUUCGGUGUAGGAUGAGGCUAUAUCGUAUCAGCUAGUUGGUGAGGUAAUGGCUCACCAAGGCUAUGACGCGUAACUGGUCUGAGAGGAUGAUCAGUCACACUGGAACUGAGACACGGUCCAGACUCCUACGGGAGGCAGCAGUAGGGAAUAUUGCUCAAUGGGGGAAACCCUGAAGCAGCAACGCCGCGUGGAGGAUGACACUUUUCGGAGCGUAAACUCCUUUUCUUGGGAAAGAAUUAUGACG